rnacentral:rRNA from 1 species
GACGAACGCUGGCGGCGUGCUUAACACAUGCAAGUCGAACGGAAAGGCCCUGCUUUUGUGGGGUGCUCGAGUGGCGAACAGGUGAGUAACACGUGAGUAACCUGCCCUUGACUUUGGGAUAACUUCAGGAAACUGGGGCUAAUACCGGAUAGGAGCUCCUGCUGCAUGGUGGGGGUUGGAAAGUUUCGGCGGUUGGGGAUGGACUCGCGGCUUAUCAGCUUGUUGGUGGGGUAGUGGCUUACCAAGGCUUUGACGGGUAGCCGGCCUGAGAGGGUGACCGGCCACACUGGGACUGAGAUACGGCACAGCCUCGUACGGGAGGGAGCAGUGGGGAAUAUUGCACAAGGGGCGGAAGCCUGAUGCAGCAACGCAGCGUGCGGGAUGACGGCCUGCGGGUUGGAUACCGCUUUCGCCUGUGACGAAGCGUGAGUGACGGUAACGGGUAAAGAAGCACCGGCUAACUCCGUG